AGUGCGGCGGCCGGGCCCGCCCCCAGCGCGUCCCGCUCCCCGGCACCUGCGGCCCGGCCCCGCCGCCGCGGGCCCCCUCUCUCCGCCAGCCCCGCCGCCGGCUCCUCCGCCCCGCCCGCCGGGCCUCUCCCCCCCGCCCCGGCCCGUAGGCGGGGCGGACUGCGGGCGGCACCUCCCGCAGCGGGGCCGAGGCGGCUCUUUCCGUCGGUCGCCGCCGCAGCAUGAGCGGGCCGGGGUUGCUGGGGCCCGGUGGCGGUGCGGGGCUGCCGCCGCUGCCCAAGAGCCUGAGCGGGCUGCUGAACUCCUCCUCCUCCGGCGGCGGCGGCCAGGGCGGGCGCUGGCGGGACCUGGAGCGGCUCUACGCGCAGAAGUCCCGCAUCCAGGACGAGCUGAGCGGCGGCGGCCGGGGCUCGCCGCGCCCGCCCAAGCCUCCCAACCUGGACGCGGCGCUGGCCCUGCUCCGCAAGGAGAUGGUUGGCCUUCGGCAGCUAGAUAUGUCACUGCUGUGUCAGCUGUACUCCCUGUAUGAAUCCAUUCAAGAAUACAAAGGUGCUUGCCAAGCUGACUCUAAUGCAGACUGCACGUAUGCUAUGGAAAAUGGUUUUUUUGAUGAAGAAGAGGAAUACUUCUAGAAGCAGGAAGAUUCACCUCCAGGCUGACCGAGGUUCUUUGGUCCUUUUCUCCCUGUAACACACCUUGGCAAGAACGACUGGAGUCUGUAUGGAUCCCUCUUCCUGAAGAGGAGCACCCAGCUACCCCGAGUUGUGUUAAAUUCGCUUAUUUUAACAGGCUGUCAGUACAAGUUACUCAUGCAAAUACCUCUUGAGGAAAGUGCUGUACUCUUAACUUUUGAAGAGUCCUCAGACAUGCUUGACAAGAGUUUUCAAUUUAAUUUGCAAGAUCUGGGCUGAUGUCUCAAACAUCCCAUCUCAAUUUCUGGACCAAGCAGACUACACCAUUUUCCAGAAUUAAUCCAAAGAAGAUGGCCAACCAAGGGAGAAUUCGGUUCAAGUUCAAUGUAACUGCAAAAGAAACCAGGACAAAUUUAUCACCAUUGAAGAAGAUCAUGGAAGCCAUGCUUAUUCACACAAACGCUAGAGAAGAACAUACAAAAGAAGAUUAUCCUUGAAUACAAUAGGUGUCAUAAAGGUAAGAUGAAGGAUAUCCUACAUACCCCAGGAUUUAUUAUGCUAUCAAAUUUUCCUACAACGGAACAUUUUUUGACCAGGGUCAAAAGUCUUUCUGAGAAGAGGAAAGAAUGAUCUUUUCAAGUGGAGGGUGCCAACCAAACACCAAUCAAAACCCUUGCAGUUAAGAGGUACUGAAAAUUUUCACUGAUAGCUGACAUGAAUUGUAGACAUUUAAAUUUUAUCAGACCAACCCUCCAGGCAAAACCAAUGAUACAGAAAUUCUACCGCAGAUAUAUCAGGAGACUGCUACAAAUGAAUACACAAAUAGUGGUGUUACCCAUAAAAUGGGUCUUCUGCUCCACAUCUGAGAGAAUGACAUUUAAUUCAAUAUUUCAGCAUACCACCACCAAACACUUAAGAAUCCUAUUUCUCUUGUGUUACUUCAACAGGAAAAGGAAACCUGCUGUAUCACAAAAAAGCAGCUAUCUUCAAGGACUUUUCACCCACAGACACACGCACAUUCAUGUCUGCCUAUCUUCUACAGGUAGAUGAGAGCUCUAUUCUUAAUGUACUUUAUUUCUAUUUGAGUCUCAACUGUAUGAAGGAAAAGUCCCCUGUGCUUAUCCAGGCUGAGACCUAGCCAGCGUGAGUUCAUUCAGGGACUUGUGAGACCCACAAACCACUUUACUGCAAAGACUCGCGUGUGCUGCCAUAGAAUAAUUGGACAAAAUGAAGAUGAUGCUAUACCAUGAGAACAUCACAGAAUUAACAGACCCGUUAGGGUGAAUUUUUCUCCAUACCUGGCUUUUCUGUUACUUUUUUUCCCAGCUGUACUACUAAAACAUUUGACAUUAACCUUAAAUGCCUCAGAAGGAACCCUGUGACUAGAGCCUGACUUCAGCAAAAUCAGUGCAAGGAAGAGUUAAUGCACACAUAGGUUUAACCAGGUAGCUUUGUCUAGUUAAAGUAAUGGAACUGUAUGGGCAUUGAUAAUCCUUACACUUUUAGAGGAGAUCAGUAUAAGCAGCUCAGCCAUGGAGAACUGCUUGCAUAUUUACUUUUAACAUUUCAGUCAGGCACUUUAGAGUGAACGACAAUACUCGUGCUCACAUCUCAUUUCCAAUUGCAGUUCUGCACAGCUGUAUUCAAUGGCCAGUUCAGUAUGAGAGAAGGCACAUCUUUUAAUCAAAACAGAGCUUUUUUGGUCUUUGCAUUUUGUCAAAGAAAUGCCUCAGUUAUCAUAACCAGGUCUAAAACCAUCUAAAGAAAUAACUGGAUUUCUAUGGGGUUUUUUUACCAGUUUUUAAUUUCUUCUUUAGCUAUGUAACUGACAUCAAAACCAGGAAAUAACUGGUAUAUUUCUUUGAAAAAACAGACAUUAAUUUGAUUAAAAGGUUCUUUCAGAUUAUGCUGCAGAAGAGAAAGGUCAAGCUUGACACCAUAAAUUCUAUUUACAUAUCUUCUUCUAAAUUGGUAAAUUUAAGGAAAAUUAUGAAUAUUUGAUACUGACACAGAAGUCCAGUAGAUACUGUGCUCCCCUAAAAAGGGUGUUGAAUGUAUUCAAUAUUCUAAUGAAUUUAAAUGGGUAUUAGUUUAGGAAUUGUUUGACUAAUCAAAUAUUUAGGAAUAUUUGACUAUGCUUGUCUGUUGUUAAAACAAACAAAGCCUAAACCACCUUCCAUUUUCAUGAGCAAAUGCAGCUUUAAAGAAAAAAGAAAUCUUCCAGAGCCAGUACAACCACGCUCUUCAUAGUGUAGUAUCAGAUUCUUUCUGAUCAAAGCAAUCCAAAACACUUACGGAAAGUAACAUAUGUUUUAACAUUUCAGUGGUAUUAAAUAAGACAAAAGAAGCACUGAAAUGUUAUUUCUGACUUCACGUUUAUCAGCCUUUUAUAAAACACUACUCAAAAGAUAUACCUCUUUGUUCACCACAGAUACUCAACUGUAAACACAGUUCACAAACGUAUGCCAAAUACAAUACAGUGUACUAAUAUUUGAGGAAGUACCUACUGUCACUGAAGGGCAAAGUUCCUAAAUAUAUGAACAUGACUUUUAGAGUCCUCUCUCCAACAUUAAAACAUAGCUGAAUUUUUAAGGUAUUUUGGGAUGAGGGUGGUUGAAGGGAAAAAUGUUCUUGAAGAGGAAGCCAUAGGACACAACUGAAAAUAAAAAUAUACACUGAAUAACCAAGCUUCAUCCUCAACUAUUAACAGCAUGAAAACCACACCAGGAAUACAUUUGGAAAUCUCUGGACAUUGGAAACACCAGUGAAACAGUCUCAUUUUAGUAUUUCUUUCUCCAGGAUUUGGCAUUUGUGAAAAUUAAGCUACACUAUUUUGCUGGACUACAUAUAUAGCAAAAUUUAACAACAUUUACAUAGCUUCAACAUGAACAUAGGUCCAUUUACAUAAAUUCAUAGCGGAAACUAACUCUGACCCAUCAUCUUGUGAGAGUGCCCUUAAUCCCAGUUGCACCCGUAAACAAUAAAAUGUAAUUAGCUGUGCUGCUUUCAGGAAUGAGUUCUUUAUUAUGGAUGUGGCUAAGUGUCAGAAUCGGCUGAAAAACAAGACAGCCCAGUUUCAGAUGCAUUCAAUUUCAGAAAACUGAAAUUAAAAACACUGUUUUUCAUUUUUCCUAUGUUUUCCAGUAGCAAGUUAUGUUAAUAUGAAAAAAAUAUACAUCAUUUCCCAGAAUGAUCUUUGUACCUUUGACAGAUUCUUUACCUAACCACACAAAUGCUUUGCAUUCAAAGCAUUUACAGUCUCUGCCUUACUGCAAUAAAAGAGGUUUUCAAUUAUUUUUCAAUUGCAGAAAAGCUAAAUGAAGUGUGCACUGCUCAGGCAAUUCAGCUUUCUUAUUACAAUGC